CCCGCCGCGGAAACGUAAGUACUCCAAAGAAAUGGUAAGAGGUAGCGGGCAAAGCCCACAAACUCUAGGUAAUGAUUGUCUGUAGGGUGAACCUGCGGAAGGAUCAUUACCUAGAGUUUGUGGGCUUUGCCCGCUACCUCUUACCCAUGUCUUUUGAGUACUUACGUUUCCUCGGCGGGUCCGCCCGCCGAUUGGACAAAAUCAAACCCUUUGCAGUUGCAAUCAGCGUCUGAAAAACAUAAUAGUUACAACUUUCAACAACGGAUCUCUUGGUUCUGGCAUCGAUGAAGAACGCAGCGAAAUGCGAUAAGUAGUGUGAAUUGCAGAAUUCAGUGAAUCAUCGAAUCUUUGAACGCACAUUGCGCCCCUUGGUAUUCCAUGGGGCAUGCCUGUUCGAGCGUCAUUUGUACCUUCAAGCUUUGCUUGGUGUUGGGUGUUUGUCUCGCCUCUGCGUGUAGACUCGCCUUAAAACAAUUGGCAGCCGGCGUAUUGAUUUCGGAGCGCAGUACAUCUCGCGCUUUGCACUCAUAACGACGACGUCCAAAAGUACAUUUUUACACUCUUGACCUCGGAUCAGGUAGGGAUACCCGCUGAACUUAAGCAUAUCAAUAAGCGGAG
rnacentral:rRNA from 1 species